GAUGAACGCUGGCGGCGUGCCUAUUACAUGCAAGUCGAGCGAACGGACGAGAAGCUUGCUUCUCUGAUGUUAGCGGCGGACGGGUGAGUAACACGUGGAUAACCUACCUAUAAGACUGGGAUAACUUCGGGAAACCGGAGCUAAUACCGGAUAAUAUUUUGAACCGCAUGGUUCAAAAGUGAAAGACGGUCUUGCCGUCACUUAUAGAUGGAUCCGCGCUGCAUUAGCUAGUUGGUAAGGUAACGGCUUACCAAGGCAACGAUGCAUAGCCGACCUGAGAGGGUGAUCGGCCACACUGGAACUGAGACACGGUCCAGACUCCUACGGGAGGCAGCAGUAGGGAAUCUUCCGCAAUGGGCGAAAGCCUGACGGAGCAACGCCGCGUGAGUGAUGAAGGUCUUCGGAUCGUAAAACUCUGUUAUUAGGGAAGAACAUAUGUGUAAGUAACUGUGCACAUCUUGACGGUACCUAAUCAGAAAGCCACGGCUAACUACGUG
rnacentral:rRNA from 1 species